CUCUGCUUCACUCAACAUCUUCUCCAGAACAGCGGCUGAGAUCCAGCAGAACACUGGGAUGUGGCACAUGAUGUAGAGGCUCCUUGAUGACUUCAGGUGUGAGAUGAUUGAAUUGGCCAGACUCUGAUCACUGAUUCUCUUCCUGAAGUAUUCCUCCUUCUGUGGAUCAUUGAAGCCUCGUACCUCUGUCACUCGAUGGACACACUCAGAGGGGACGAGAUCAGCUGCUGCUGGUCUGGAGGUGAUCCAGAUGAGAGCAGAGGGAAGCAGAUUCCCCACAAUGAGGUUCAUCAGCAGCACGUCCACUGAGGCUAAUUCAGAUAUAUUACACAGUUUCACUUUACUCUUAAAGUCCAGAGACAGACGACACUCAUCCAGACCAUCAAAGAUGAACAACACUUUAUAUUCAUCACUGGAUAUUUCCAUUUCUUUGGUUUCAGGGUAAAAGACAUGAAGAAGAUCUGAAAGACUGAGUGUUUUGUCCUUCAUCAGGUUGAUUUCUCUGAAAGGAAGUGGAAAUAUGAGCUGGACGUCCUGAUUCUCUUUCCCUUCAGCCCAGUCCAGGAUCAACUUCUGCACAGAGACUGUUUUUCCAAUGCCAGCGACUCCCUUUGUCAGCACAGUUCUGAU